UACGUAGGUGACGAGCGUUAUCCGGAAUUAUUGGGCGUAAAGCGCCCGCAGGCGGCUGUUCAAGUCUGACGUGAAAUCGCUCGGCUUAACUGGGCGGGGUCGUUGGAAACUGAGUAGCUUGAGGCAAGGAGAGGGGCGUGGAAUUCCUGGUGUAGCGGUGAAAUGCGCAGAUAUCAGGAGGAACACCGGUGGCGAAGGCGGGUCUCUGGGCCGAUACUGACGCUGAGGAGCGAAAGCGUGGGGAGCGAACAGG
rnacentral:rRNA from 1 species